UACGGAGGGUGCAAGCGUUGUCCGGAUUUAUUGGGUUUAAAGGGUGCGUAGGUGGCUAUUUAAGUCAGUGGUGAAAGCCUGCAGCUUAACUGUAGGACUGCCAUUGAUACUGAAUAGCUUGAGUACUGAUGAGGUAGGCGGAAUUGAUAGUGUAGCGGUGAAAUGCAUAGAUAUUAUCAAGAACACCGAUUGCGAAGGCAGCUUACUAAGGAGUUACUGACACUGAGGCACGAAAGCGUGGGGAUCAAACAGG
rnacentral:rRNA from 2 species